AUUGAACGCUGGCGGCAUGCCUUACACAUGCAAGUCGAACGGUAACAGGCCGCAAGGUGCUGACGAGUGGCGAACGGGGGAGUAAUGCAUCGGAACGUGCCCAGUCGUGGGGGAUAACUACUCGAAAGAGUAGCUAAUACCGCAUACGAUCUAUGGAUGAAAGCGGGGGACCGUAAGGCCUCGCGCGAUUGGAGCGGCCGAUGUCAGAUUAGGUAGUUGGUGGGGUAAAGGCUCACCAAGCCAACGAUCUGUAGCUGGUCUGAGAGGACGACCAGCCACACUGGGACUGAGACACGGCCCAGACUCCUACGGGAGGCAGCAGUGGGGAAUUUUGGACAAUGGGCGCAAGCCUGAUCCAGCAAUGCCGCGUGCAGGAAGAAGGCCUUCGGGUUGUAAACUGCUUUUGUACGGAACGAAACGGCUCUGGUUAAUACCCGGGGCUAAUGACGGUACCGUAAGAAUAAGCACCGGCUAACUACGUG
rnacentral:rRNA from 1 species